rnacentral:rRNA from 1 species
GAUGAACGCUGGCGGCGUGCUUAACACAUGCAAGUCGAACGGAAAGGCCCUGCUUUUGUGGGGUUCUCGAUUGGCGAACGGGUGAGUAACACGUGAGUAACCUGCCCUUGUCUUUGGGAUAACUUCAGGUAACUGGGGCUAAUACCGGAUAGGAGCUCCUGCUGCAUGGUGGGGGUUGGAAAGUUUCGGCGGUUGGGGUUGGACUCGCGGCUUAUCAGCUUGUUGGUGGGGUAGUGGCUUACCAAGGCUUUGACGGGUAGCCGGCCUGAGAGGGUGACCGGCCACAUUGGGACUGAGAUAGGGCGCAGACUCCUACGGUAGGCAGCGGUGGGGAAUAUUGCACAGUGGGCGGAAGCCUGAUGCAGCAACGCGGCGUGCGGGAUGACGGCCUUCGGGUUGUAAACCGCAUUCGCCUGUGACGAAGCGUGAGUGACGGUAAUGAGUAAAGAAGCACCGGCUAACUACGUG